ensembl:lncRNA
CACCAUUCCUAGCAUUUGGUAAACAUGAGCUUUUACUGGCCGUAGACUGGACAUAUAUAGGCUACUAAUGAGAAAGUCUCCAUACGUAAAUAAGCCUUAAUGAAUCUGCCACACCCCCAUUGCUAGGCUAGUUUUAUAUUUUUCCUGGGCUGCCACCAGGUUAGCAUUAAAGGCAUAUUAAAAUAUAUAUGGAAGUUACAUUAUAAUGCUAACCUGUCUUUAGAACAUAUUAAUACAUGUCUUUAACGACAGAUCACUUUCUUUCUCUCCGUCUCUCAGCAUGUGUGCAUAUACAUACACACUUAAACCUCCCUAUACCUACAUUAGACAUGAUAGCAUUAUCUAGAAAUAUAUACACAUGCAUUAAGCUAUCAUCAAGUUCAUAUGCACUGAAAGGCGCAUUAGUUUUAUCUAGGUAUAUCUCUCAAUCAUGUACUAUAUGUCUAUAUGCAUAUCUAUAUAUUAUUCUGCCACUCAUCAUGAGUUCUGGCUCUCUACAGGAAAUGGCCUGUGUAUUUUGUGAUCAACUCAAGGACAGGAGAUUUUGCAUAUUUAAAUUGUAUUCAAUACAUAACCUAUGAAUAAAAAUUCCAUAUCUUAAAAUAUUGCCUUUGGUGUUUGCAUAAUGCCUUCAUUAUUGUUGAAAAAAACUAUCUACACAUUCAUUUUGUGGAGAUAAGUUAUAUAAAUGUGAUGAAUGAAAUAUUUUUUCCUUAGUUCUUAAAAUGACAGUGUAAACAAAUGGGAUUUCUUUUGCCUGGAGAUGAGGGUACCCAAGGGAGAUAAUAUUUCUCGAAUGGAUACUAUAGAAGUGGUGGGAAGCUACUGUAUCUCAUUUCCAGGGAGGCCACAGAGAAAAUGAUGUAACAGGAAAUUGUGGGUUAGGCUUUCAAAUGCCUUCACUGGGAGGCAGUAGAGAAGGAAUGGGCCCUUAAAGGAGUUUGUGCAUUCUCUCUUCAUUUGAUGUUUCAAAAAAGCAACCAGUUAUCUGAGGUUAAUUAAGUCAGUCGAUUCCACAGCCCAUUCUAAGAAGAAAUGUCUCCUUCCUACUCUGAAUAAUCUUCCGUUGAGGUGGUGGCUGGGUCUAGGUAACCAAUUCUAAAGCAUCAUCCCCCCAUACUUCUUUCCUUCCUCCCAUGACACCAGCUGAGUCGACCAGGGCUGGGACUUCUAAACACUGGAAACCAAUAAGAAAGCUGGUCAGAGAUACCUUGAAGCCUGGCAUUAAAGUGCAAGCUGGAUCUAUCGUCUUUACUUUCUCAAAACUUUACUAGAGAAUAUGCAUUUUAACAUUGGGAGCUGAAGUUGAAAAGAAGCCAUGAAAUGGAGGAGGAUUGUGACCAGCCAUUGCUUAUAAAGUAGCAAGCAGGGCAAACAAUGGCUAAAGGGAGCUGAUGGAAUAGAUGCAGGAGAGAGAAAGCCAGUAAGACUGCUCGUGUGACUAAUGAGCGCUGCCUGAAUUCACGAUGGCUUUUCAGACUACAUGUCAAGCAUCCUAGACCAUUUUUCUGAAGGAACUUGAGUCUCUGUACCAAUUGUAUGAUUUUGGUGGCAAGAAAUAGAAAACCCAACAAAGUGAUUUAAACUAGGGACAUUUAUGAUGUCACAGAACACGAAAUCUAAAGACCAGGAUGGUUUUAGGGAUGGUUCUGUGACAUCAUUAGGGGCACAGUUUCAUUCUGUCUUGGCUAUUUGCUAUUUUGUACUCAGCAUCUUGGCUUUUGCCUGAGGUUUGUUCCCUCCCGGAUGCCAGAUGCCUCUAGCAGGUCCAUGUAUCAACCUUGUUUUCUUAGAGAUGUCUCUCCCUCCUCCUGACCUGCGUCAGCAUGGACUCAUUUCUCCCUUGGUCCCCUGCUCAGCUGCCAUCCUGAGACCAUUCCCGUGUGUGCGAAGGCUCUGUAGAGUCACUCGGGCUGUGGCUUUCAGGCUGCAAACUGUCUCUAAGACGAGGAGACAGCCGUUGUUCUUGGAUGACCUUCUCAGGGGAGGAAGAGGAGCAUCCUCGAGGAGAGUUCUCAGGGUUUGCUAACAUCAGGACUGAAGGAGAAGGAAGUUUUGUCGAGCUUCAUCUUUGAGAAGAAAGCUAGAAGACAGAGGUCCCAGGGUGUUUUGGUUACUCUGGAGUGAAACAUGGAGGAGAGAACCAUAAAAUAUUUCCAGAGCUCUGUGACUAGUACCAUUGAGUCUCUGUUUUUGUUUCCUGGAGGUAAUUAGCAUUCAAACAACUUGUGUGCUCUGGGUUGCCCAAUAGGCCCCUGGGCAGGGAGAGCGCCAGCCUUGGAGCAAGAUGGUUGAGUGAGUGGUGGCACUUAUCACAGGAGAGAAGAGCGAGCUGGGCCUUGGACGACUCCUGCAGAGAGAAAAAGAGAGCGUGGGCAGCGGGCCGAGAGCGGUUGAGCGAGCGCUGGGCCGAGCAGGAGAAAGGCCCCCGUGAGGUUUCCAGAUGCAGGGCCAUACACUCUCCGAAGCACUUCUUCACUCUUGUAAUUCUCUCCCCACCCUUUGGUUGAGGAACAGGUGAUAUUUUUAGCUCUGUUUUCCUAGUAAGUAAGUUAAUUUUCAGAGAAGAUAAAGUAACCCCAAAGACACAGCUGGAUAGAAGUUGAUCUAGGGCUAGAAGCCAGCUCUCCCAACCUAUGGAUCAGGGUUCCUCACUGUCCCCCAAUGCCACUGGAACCUGAAAUGGCACAGCCUGGUCUGGAGGACAUUGAGGAGCAUAAAUUAGGCAGAGGAAGGAGUGUGGGUAUGGGGAGUGUUCCAGGCGGAAGGAACAGCACUUCAAGGCCUUGAGGAAGGAGCGAGAGUGGUGCUUCCUGAGAACCAAAACAGGCCAGGAAGGCUGGGCCACGGAAAGCAACGUGGGGGCUGGUGUGAGGUGGGACUGGAUUAUGAAGAGCUCUGAGAGCUCACUUGCCACUUCUUCAGCGGGACCUGCCUACCUCCAGCAGCAGAUUCCUUCCUAAAGAGCGUCAGCACACUCUCUCCCGUGGACUUCCGCUGUACCCAAUGGCACUGACCUUUGAGCCACUGGUGGCAGUGUGGGGGGAGGCACGGGAUUAACUCUUGUUCCGAUCUAAUCCUUCGAGGAGAGGAACCAACUGACCAUCGUCCUACUAUCAGAACCGAGUGUGAGAUGGGAAUGUGGGGGUGCUGGUUGAAUAUACAUUCAACUUUGAAUAAAGAGGACAAUCAGGGCCACAUGUGUCUCUUCCUUUUCAUGCUCCCUCUGAAGUAAGGUCUUCUCUUACCAGCAUUUCCUUCUGGGUCCCAGAAAAUUCCUCCUGUGCUGUGGAAGACCUCAAGUGAGGUUUCUACCAAGACUUUGAGAGGAUUUGAAGCUCUUUUUAACUAAAAAGUUCAGCUUUCUCACAGGCACUGCUGUGGCUCACUUUGUGGGGUGGGAAGUCCUUCUGCUGGGGUGAGAAUACAAGUCAGGCUCCUGAAUUUUCAUAACAGAAUGUCAGCCUUGCCACCUGACAGCCUAAAGCAUAUGCCUAAAGCAUAUGGAUCUCUUUUCAAUCAACGCAGUGUCUUCACUUCCUCUAAAGAGCUCAGUCUUGGACUGACUGAUACACAGCCCUGUCAGAAAGCUCAGCUGAGAAGAGUGACAUUUGAGGGAUAUUUGGAGCUAACCAUUCAGUCUCUAAGUUUUGACCUUAAACCAAGUUAAGAAUUUGUUUGGACUACAGCUCUAAUUCCAUUAGAAAUGUCAUCAUCGAAUAACAUUUAAGUAAUAUGCACUCUGGUUUUGUGCAGGAAUGGUAAAGAAAUGUCUGUUUCUGAAGAACCACCUCUAAACUAUUUUUCUUUUGUCUUACUAAAUGUGUCUUCAAGAAAAAAUGUUUCUGAAGAAGUGGACUAUUUUUUAUAUUGGGUAGUGAGAACUAUUGUAGCUCUGUUCAAGACAAAGUUUCAAAUUUGAACCACUCCCUUCUUCUCUGAGUAACAGUAAUUAUAGACAAAGUUAUAAAAGGGAAACUUUAAAAGACAACAAUACUCUACAGAACAAAAUAAAUAUUACUUUGGACCAGAAAGAGGACAGAAAUGCAAAGCAAUAAAGGGGCUGUAACUGAGGACCUGCUUGGCUCUGGCACUGUAAAAAGGCAGACACGACUAGGACUUCAGCUCCCGUGGGGUGACAGAGUCUAAAGGUGCCCAGCAAGUGGGGAUCAGAGCUGGAAUCAUCGUCUGAAAUUAGGGUGUGGGGUGGUGUUCCAUGAAAGGAAGCUUACAAAACUUCUGCCUACUCCUAUCUGAAUAUCCAAGACAUGAGGGAGGAUGCAGACUCAGCUUUGAAGCCCGCACUUUAGCCAAGAUGACUUCUAGCUCAGUGAUGAGAACUCUGUCAUGACUAUCCCUAUGGGGAAGCAGCCCUGCUAUGACAAUACGAGAUCUAGUUCUAGCUUGGGAGCCUAGCAGGGUUGGGUGGAGACCACUGAAAGACCACCAGGAGGGAGAGGAAGGAGAGAGGAAAGGUGGAGGAAGAAAUCCCUAAAUAAUUGACAAGGCUUCCUCCUACUCAAGACAUACCUGACAAUCUAAAUGCUGUAAUCCACAAAGAAAAAAAUGCUGAGAAAAUACAGCCACCAAAACAAAUUAUUGAAAUUAAUUCUUUUUCAGAGGAAGUGAAAAUGAUUGGACACUCUGAAAAGGGUUUUAUGGUAAGAUAUUGACAGGCUUUCACCAACAAGAUAAAGAAAGGAAAACAUCCAUAAUGAAGAGUAAGAAAAUAGAGAAAAAAUCAUGCAGAAAUGAAACAACAGGCAACUCUAAAAAUAGCCUCUUAGGAAUUCCAGAAAUAAGAUGGUGUAAGCAUUAGAAAAGACACAAUCAAACAGAGAUUUAGUAAAUUAAAAAGCAGAACUGAGGGACUGGUGAAAUGGCAGUUUGGAAACAGAGAGGGUGGAUCAAGGAGGUGAAAUUUAGGUCUAGGAGAAGCUGCAAAACAUUAGAGCAGAGGAGGGAGUGGAGAGGCAAUGGCUGAGGGGACGCUGGCCAAGCUCUGUUCAGUGUCGACGGCCCGAAUCCUCAGAGUAAAUGUGUAAUCCAGGUUCCAAGAAGGAGAAAUAGAAAUAAGUUCAUACUUAGGUGCAUCAUAAUGAAAUCGAAGAUAAGGAGAAAAUAUUAAAAUCCACUGGAGAGAAAAAUCAGGUUCUUAAAGAGAUGACCAUCAGGCAGGCAGCUGACUCCUCAUCAGCAAUCAUAGACAGAUCUACAAAUUGCUGAGAGAAAAUCGCUGUCGACCUAGAAUUCUAUGGCUGGUGAAAUGAGCUGUGAGGACAAGAUUAACAUCAGGCCUGGGACCUAAACAUAACAAGGCUUUCCUGGGAAGAAAACCUCAGUUCUGCCUUCCAACAGCAUCAUUACCUCAGAAGAUGCUGAUUUAAGAUAAACAUGGAAUUUCACAUGUGAAGAGCCAAUGAACUGUCUUAUUCCCUGUGAAAUUCCUGGUUGGUGGGAGCACAUCUGCACUGAGGGUGCUGUAAGUGGGCGUCCGAGCCUUGCACCUGUGUGGUGGGAACAGCACGCAAGAAUGAUGGGAAAUCCAGGCAGUGGCUUCUCCAUGCCGAGUUACACCGCACACGUGUUGCUGUCCUCCCUCAGUUGCACACAUCCUGUGUGGGUCAAGGCGGGGACAAGAAGCUGUGCACACAGACAGCUUCAGGGCCUCCUUACCGGAGGAACACUGUUUUCCCUGACUUUUCUCCUUCUAUAAAUCUAAAUAAAUGUAACAAUGGAUUAAAUCCCACUGUUAUGUGAGUUUGAUUGCUAGUCCUAACUUGUGAUCACUGUUAGUGGUGACACACUCUCAUUAAAGGGAAAUAAAAAUGUUUUCCCACAUGCAAAGACUAAGAGAAUUUCCCACUCACAAAGCAUCAGUGAAAGAACUCUGAAGGCUAUACCUUAGUGAGAAGAAAAUUUAACUCAGAGGGGAAGACUCUGACACAAGAUACAAAGGCAAACAGAGAAACUGAAAAAAGUAAGUGGAGAAAUAUUUUUCUGUCCAAAAAAGUGAAAUUAAACCUCUAGACAAUAAAGGAAAAUGGAGUCUUCACUGGAUACUUAGUAUGUUAACAUCUCUGUCCUGUUUGAGAGCAGAAUUGAGAUGCUGGUGCUGAAUGACUCUACACUCUUCUUGAAACACUUAUGAGGUAUGUAUUUUUAAGAUUUAAGAAUAACCACUAGAAGGAUAGAAAUACUCUCUACAGCUUCCAGACUCAUAGAGAGAACAAGAAAGUUUUAACAGUUCAUCAGAAUGUAGAAAAGGAUCAAAAAGAAGCAAGGAGAAAGGAGGAGAUCCAGAUCACCAAUGACUUUCCCUCUUUGCCUUGGCUGUCAGGAUGCCCAGAUAAAAAUUUUUUCUCCAUUAUUUCAUUCAGUAUUUCUACUACGGUUAUCUUCACUUCUCAUAAGAUAAUAUUUGAUUUCUCUUACCUUCAUUUUAAAUAUCUGUAUAGUCAAGUUAGUUUCCUACUUGUAUUAGAAUCAUGGAAUUUUAGUCCUGGAAAAAUCCUUACAGAUCUUCUAGCGCAAGGAUACAAGACAGAGCUGGUGUGCGACCGUGAUCUUGUGCACAAGGCAGACGUUCCGAGGGAGACACGGUGCUCUUUCUCAUUCCAUGCAAAAGCCUUCCUAUUUUGUUUUGUUGGCUCCGGAGAUGAAACCUGUUUAGUAAUCCAGGUUGCAUCCAGUUAUGUCUUAAUGGUGAAGAGACUGAGACGUGGAAAGGCGAGGCCGUUUGCCCAGUCACACAAACUGAGACAAGAACUAAGCCGACCAAGUCAAGUGUUUCCCCUUCUGGAUCAGACUAAAUCAGUGAAUCCUAGAGGUGUCCCCCAAUCACGGAAACUUCUAGAACCCCUGAGAAUGCUGCUGUUACCCUCCUGAAAUCUUAUUUUUAAGUUUAUUUUUUUAAAAAAGCAGUUGUAGUUUCCAGUUCUGGACGAGAUGGAGUAAACACAUUUUAUUUUACUCCCCCCACUAAUCACAAGCAAAAACUCUGGACAAAGUACGUAAGUCUAGAAAAUGGAGAAGGUAGAUUGGCUGCAGACCUCCGGACUAGAGGAAUUACCUGGAAGUGAAUUCCCUGGGUUUUUCUCCUGCCCCUAUUUGUCCUGGCCUUGGCAGUAGAGAAUUCUACAAUUUGGAAACAGGUGUAGGAAAAAAAUAGCCACAGGAGCCUGGGCUCUCCAGCCAAAGAACUGUGAAAAGUGCAACCCCGCAUGUGGGUCAGAAACGUUGACCUGCUCUCGAGGGGGGUAGCAUGAGAACUCUUGCCCUCCUCCACCCUAAUGGGCAUGGCAGCAAUAGGGUCCAUGGGCAGAACCCUGUCGUGCAGCCCCCUUGCAACAAGGAGGCGUGGCCCUCCCCUGCAGAACGGCAGGUGGGAUUCUGACUUCCUGGCAUUAGCCUCCUGCAAAUACCACAGACUGGGUGGCGCACAACAGAAAGCUAUUGUCUCACAGCUCCGGAGGCUAGAAGUCCGAGUUCAAGGUGCCGGUAGGGUUCGUUUCUGUGGGACUCUUCCUGGCUCACAGAAGGCCGCCUUCAUGCUGCGUCCUCACAGAAGCUUUCCUCUAUGGAUGGGCAGACAGAAAGGUCUCCCUUCUUUUUCUUGUAAGGACACUAGUCCUAUCAGCUUAGGGCCCCACCUUUAUGACCUCCAUAAAGGCCCUGUCUCCAGUCCAUUCACAUUGGGGUCAGGACUUCAGCAUGUGAAUUUUGGGGAGGACACAGUCGAGUCCACAGCAACCCUGUGCCACAGUAAUGAGAGGGUGCUCCUCUCUGGUGGAGCCUCUGUAUGGAAUCCUGACCUCCAUUCGUGCCCUGCACUAAGCAGGAAACAGAACUGAUAAAUUAGACUCCAUCCAGAUAAAAAUCUCUUGCUUUUUUUGGAAAAAUAUCUGCUGAAAGGAUGAAAAAACAAGCCACAGACUGGAGGAAAAUAUUUUCAAAUCACACAUCUGAUAAAGGGCUUGUAUCCAGAAUACAUAAAGAUCUCUCUAAACUCAACAGUAAGAAAACAAACAAUCCAGUUAGAAUAUGGACAAAUGAGUUGGAUAGACACUUGUCUAAUGAGGGGACACUGAUGGCAAAGAACACAUGAGAAAAUGUUUAACAUAUAAACCUCUAGGGAAAUGCAGAUUAAAGCUGCAUAUGCUACUAUUACACACAUAUUAGAGUAACAAAAAUAAAAAUACCAAUGGUGUCAAGUGCUGGCUAAGAAUGUAAAAUGGUACAGCCAUGUUGAAAAACAGUUUGGCAGCUUCUUAUAAAGCUAAGCACGCGCAUACCAUAUGACCCAGCCAUCUCUUUCGUGGGCAUUUAUCUUAGCGAAAUGAAAAGUUAUGUGCACCCAAAAACCUGUACAUGAAUGUUCAUCACAGCUUUCUUUGUAACAGUCCAAUCUGGAAACAACCCAAAUGGCCUGCAACAGGUAAAUGGAAAGACAGAAUGCUGUCCAUCUAGACUGUGAAAUGCUACUCAGCAGUAAGUGGAAUUAACUAUGGAUGCAUGUAACAAUUUAGAUGGAUUUCAAAGGAAUUAUGCUGAUAAAGGAAGCCAAUAUCAAAGGCUUGUGUCCGGUAUGAUUCCAUUUGUAUAAUAUUCUUGAAGAGACGGAAUUGUGAUGGCGAACAGAUCGGUGAGUGCCAGGAGUUAGGCGGGGGAGCAGGAUAUCACUGUGAAGGUGCCCCCCAAGGGAGUUCUUUGUGGUCAUAGAACAGCUGUGUAUCCUGACUGUGGUGAUGGUUACAUCAAUUAUGGAACUACACACACACACACAUACACACAAAAGUCCAUGCAAACACUGGUGAAAUCCAAAUAAGGUCUGCACUUGAGAACAGUGUUGUACCAAUGUCGAUUUCUUGGUUUUGACAAUGCAGUUUGGUUAUGCAAGAUGAUGUAAUUAGGGGAAACUGGGUGAGGAUGCAUGAGAAUUCUCUGUACAUCUCUAGAAUUUCUUGUGAGUCUAAAGCUAUUUCAAAAUAAGAAGCUAUAAUGUAAAAAAAUCAGUUGUAACCAAUUUUUAAAAAUGUUCCAGUCUUGAGCCUGGGGACUUCAAAGCCAGCUCUCUUACCCACUAUACCACACGAGUAAGGACCCAUUGGAAAAAUGCCCAGAGGCACCAAUAACGGGCACUCCCAGCUACUCAACAUUCUUUUCGUCUCCUUAGACCCUAGGAAGAAGAAAACACAAACGGGAAAUGGUUACUCGAGACAAUUAGGGCAUCUGAGGUGGGAUGGUUUUAAUAGAUUUUAUAAAUCAACUCUCAGGAUAAAUCCCACUUGUUUUUGUAGAGUGAUUUCAUAAUGUAUUAUGAAUUCUCCUUGCCAGGUUUUCACAUCUAUAUUCAUACAUCACCUUAUUCUAGAUAUUUUUCCUUUUGAUAUUUUUUGUUAAAAUUUUAU